GAGCAGACAGCUGUCCGUUUCUAGUCUGGCUCCUGGGACUCUAGAGGGAGUCGGUCUGCAACAUGAAGUGUCUAGCGUCAGUAUUUCCUGCUGGCUUUAGACUGGCCAAAUACCA